rnacentral:rRNA from 1 species
AUGCCAUCCUCCUCCGGGACCUCGGAAUCCUGGUCGCCGGACGACCUCCUCGACAAACCCACCCGCGACCGAGCUCCCCGCGCCAGCGCCGCCGACGCCGACGACGACCCCGACGACGUCUCGGCCGAGCGGGUCACCUCGCGGCUGCGCAAGCCAGGAGCCCUGAGGGCCCUCUGCAAGAGGUACUCCGUCCCCGACGGCUUCGCCCCGGUCCUCGCCGGCGACCGCUCCUCAUGCUCCACGCCGCCGCCCGGGUCCGUCUGCGUGUACCUCGACUCGCUGGACGCCGGGAUGCGCCUGCCCCUCCACCCCUUCUUCGCCGCGGUGCUCAGCCACUUCGGGCUCGCCCCCGGCCAGCUCUCGCCCAACGGCUGGCGCGCCAUGGCGGGCUUCGUGGCGCUCUCCCGCUCCGCCGGCGUGGACCCGUCGCUCGCCGUGUUCCGGCACUUCUUCGCGCUCUGCCCGUUCCCGCCGCACGGCUUCUACACCCUCCGCGGCAAGGACGCCGACGGCCUGCUCUUCGCCCGGAUCCGCGCCAAGUUUGUCAAGGGGUGGAAGGAGGAUUUCUUCUUCCUGGCGUCGUCGGCGCCGUGGCCCCUGCUGCGUGCUCGAGGGAGUUCCCCGAUCGACCUCUUCGCGUAUCUCCACCACCGCAACAUGGCCGCGGCCAGCAUCACCGGGGUGUCGUCUCCGCCGCCAACUCCUAAAGCCGUUCGAUCUGAUGCCGCCAUGGAGGAAACCACGGCCGCGGCCGCGCGCGCGUCGGCAGGGAAGGUGAAGGUGAAGAACGAGCCUGACUGCAAGGUGCCGCCUUGUGCGCCGUCGCUUGGGAAGAAGAGGAAGCUGCCGGGGGACCGUGCGGACGGCGAGAGCUUGACGUCGUACCCCUCUUGCCCGCCGGGCUUCUCCGCCCCCUGCAAGUCGCCGCCCACGACAAGCAAAGAUGGUGACUGGAAGGCGGCGAGGCGGCUGCUGCAGGGCACCGUGACGCCGUCGCGGGAGCGCGAGCUCGCCGCGUCCAAGCCGGCCGACGUCGUCGCCUCAACCUACGUGUCACUGCUCCAGACGGCGAACGAGGUGGCCUUCUCGCUGGGCUACGCUCUGGAGCUGGAGGACAAGCUGAGGGCGCGCGAGCGCAAGGCGGACGCGCUCCAGGGGGAGCUGCACAGGAAGCUGAAGGCGCGGGAGACCGAGGCGGACGCGCUGCGCAAGGCGAAGGCCGAGCUCGACGAGACGACCAAGGCGGCCAAGGCCGUGCUCGCCGAGGCCAAGGCGGACGCGGGGAUCGCGGCGGCGACGGCGCGUGGGCUCCGGGAGGAGCUGGACAGGAACGUGAAGGCGCGGGAGCGGGACGCCGCCGAGACGGACGCGCUGCGGGCGGAGCUGCACCAGGCGAAGGCCGAGCUCGCCGUGACCAAGGCGGAGGCCGAGAGGGCGGCGGCGGCACGGUGGUUCUGGGGGUCGAGCAGGGAGCACGCGCGCGCGCUGGCGGAGCGGGAGCUGCGCGGGUACGAGCGCGGCCUGGAGGACAUGCGGCGCGCCGCGCUCCAUCGCUACCCGUACCUGGACCCGUCGCUGCUCUUCGUGCCGGUCCGCGGCCCCCCGUAG